rnacentral:rRNA from 2 species
GGUAUUGAUUGGUGCUUGCAUCAUGAUUUACAUUUGAGUGAGUGGCGAACUGGUGAGUAACACGUGGGAAACCUGCCCAGAAGCGGGGGAUAACACCUGGAAACAGAUGCUAAUACCGCAUAACAACUUGGACCGCAUGGUCCGAGUUUGAAAGAUGGCUUCGGCUAUCACUUUUGGAUGGUCCCGCGGCGUAUUAGCUAGAUGGUGGGGUAACGGCUCACCAUGGCAAUGAUACGUAGCCGACCUGAGAGGGUAAUCGGCCACAUUGGGACUGAGACACGGCCCAAACUCCUACGGGAGGCAGCAGUAGGGAAUCUUCCACAAUGGACGAAAGUCUGAUGGAGCAACGCCGCGUGAGUGAAGAAGGGUUUCGGCUCGUAAAACUCUGUUGUUAAAGAAGAACAUAUCUGAGAGUAACUGUUCAGGUAUUGACGGUAUUUAACCAGAAAGCCACGGCUAACUACGUGCCAGCAGCCGCGGUAAUACGUAGGUGGCAAGCGUUGUCCGG